AACACAACUGAAUUGCAGAUCAUACUUCGCCAGACAAAUAAAGAUUCACGAGAGAAGAAUUCAUACCAUCAACACAGAGAAUGAAGUGAGAAGAGAGAAUCGAAGAUAGCAGAAGCAACACAGCAGAAGCAACACAGCAGAAGCAAAUCCUUCACCCACCAAUCCUAUGCCUUUGCCUACACCUUCUACUUACCCAGAUAUGUCACCCUCACCCUUGAUGGCUCCUCUCUCAGCUACACAGUCCCCGAUC
rnacentral:lncRNA from 1 species